CCUACGGGCGGCAGCAGUGAGGAAUAUUGGUCAAUGGACGAGAGUCUGAACCAGCCAAGUAGCGUGAAGGAUGACUGCCCUAUGGGUUGUAAACUUCUUUUAUAUGGGAAUAAAAUGUUCCACGUGUGGGAUUUUGUAUGUACCAUAUGAAUAAGGAACGGCUAACUCCGUGCCAGCAGCCGCGGUAAUACGGAGGAUCCGAGCGUUAUCCGGAUUUAUUGGGUGUAAAGGGAGCGUAGGUGGAGUGUUAAGUCAGUUGUGAAAGGUUGCGGCUCAACCGUAAAACUGCAGUUGAAACUGGCAGUCUGGAGUGCAGUAGAGGUAGGCGGAAUUCGUGGUGUAGCGGUGAAAUGCUUAGAUAUCACGAAGAACUCCGAUUGCGAAGGCAGUUCACUGGACUGCAACUGACGCUGAGGCUCGAAAGUGUGGGUAUCAAACAGGAUUAGAUACCCCUGUAGUC
rnacentral:rRNA from 1 species